GGUGUGAUAUAUAUGUUACUUAAAUAUCAAGUGUCUAGAUUAAUUAGUUUUCUUAAUCUAAGAAGUAUAUUAAUUAACCAUGAUUAAAGAACAUGUGUUCUUAUUUAGGUUUCUCAAUUUUUAAUAAGAAAUUAUCUAUCUACCAAAUUUUGGGAUUGAAAGGAAUUACUUCAAUUAAAUGGCAUUAAACUUUUGAUAAAAAAUAUGUUUUUUCAUAGCUUUACAACACUAAGGAAUCAGGAUCAGUUGUAAACAUUUUUUUCAAAAAAGUUUAUCUAACAAAAAUUUCAGUUUAUAUUCUUUGAUGCAUGGUAAUUGGCCAAGUGAUUUUCAGUACUUUUUAUUUAAUAUUUAAAUGCAGGAAACUCAAUUUCAUGAUUUACAAUGUUUUUUCUUUGUGAAACAACUUAUUUGAAUGUUGAUUUUGAAUUGGCAAAAACUAUCUAUGAAGAAGCAUAAUACUUUUUUUUUCUUUUCAUGAAUGAAAAAUCAAGCUCUAUAUAGAUAAUAUAAUGCUGUGCAAAAUGAUUUAAUGUUGUCAAUGGAAUAAAUAGGAAUUGUGAUAAGGAUAUUCAAACUUUGAAAAAGUAAAGUCUUUUUCUCUGAAUAGGUUCGGUGAAUUUUUCUAAUUAAACGCUAAAUUUUAAAAACACUUUGUAAUAAAAAAUAAAAAAAUAAAAAGCAAAAAUCUCACAUUUAUAAUCAUCAAGACAAACCAAACACAUGAACGCCAUUAUUUCUCAAGAUCAUAUCAUGUACCUUUUUAAUAGUUAGUGGCGUUUCGUUUGUGUUUACACCCAAAUGCGUAAAUUUAAUAUCCACCUUGAUUCCUCAACAUUCUCGAGCGCUCUCACGCCAGUUACUCAAUUAUGUAGUAAUAAAGAAGUUGGGAAUUCAUCCACUGUAUUCCAAUUUCAAAUGCUCAUCAACUGUUUGAUGAAAUUCCAGAGACAAAUGUAUUCCCCUGGAAUGCAUUGAUCACGAGUUACACUCAUUAUAGGAAGUUCAGGGAAGCAAUUAAUGUGUUUUGAGAAAUACUAGCUUCUGGGAUUAAACCAGGUGAGUUCACUAUGGUUGGAGUUUUGUCAGCUUGUCCUCUUGCGGGAGCGCUUAAUCAAGUGUUUCUCACUGCACUGGACAGCGGAGGUACCAAAUCAAACCAUUCUAAUCUAUCUCCAUGUGGAGUAAAGCGGGCAAUGAUUGGAAUCCAAGAAUUCCCGAAAGCAUUUUGAGAAAUGGGAACAACUUCAGUUCUUCCACGCAAAUUCAUAGCAGGGGAUAGUAAAGAAGGCCGUAAUUGGCCAUGUUUGGCUUGAGCCACAUUGAUUAAAGCCUUCCAUAUGACAGCAGUCACCAGUGUUACUCUUGUAGGUUGGAUUUCAUGGUGGGUAGUAGCAUUUUUCUUGAAUAUGUCUUUAAGUUCAGCUAUUUUGGACCCAUCGAACAUAAAUCUUCUGGCUACGAUUUUCAUUCCCAUGUCUAUAGGAAAUUCAGGGACGUUCUUAACUAUAUAGUUUUUAACUGGAAACGAUGAAGGAACGCUAAAACAUGGGCACAAUACCUUAUUAUUGAUCUCUCCUUGAUUUGAUUUGGCCCAUUCGUUGAUGAAUGAAACAACUGUAGAAGUAUCUGCAACUUUAUGGGAAACACACACCCCAAGAGCAAGUCCUCCACAAUCAAAUAAAUUGGUUUGGAUAGUCAGUAAUGGACUUGUGGCAGAGUCUGCUGCACCAACUUCUUGUGGUAAAAGUUGAUCCAAACUCCCAUCUUUAACUCCUUGGUGAAGGAACUCAGCAAGUUCUUUAUCUACUUUUGUUUCCAAGUAUUCAGCCCCUUGGUCACUGCAAUCAAUAAAGAGAUGUUCUUGAUCUUUGACAAGUCUUCCAGUUAGUGGGUAAAACUUGGAUAAAGUGUGGGCCAAUGAUUCCUCCAAUUCGGAUAGUUGUCUUUGAUAAUUGUUUUCAGCUUUGUGUUCUUCAUUGUUGGAAAAAUACAGAACGAUCUUGAUAUGGGAUGCAGGAGCAAGUCUAUCAAAAAUGGAUAACUUGAAGCUUUGAAGGUGCUUUGGAGUUGGAUUUGAUGGAUUUAUGAAUUUUCUUGAAACUAUUUGGAUUUUUGGUCCUAGCAUGGUGCAUCAAAUCUUGAGUAAUCAAAGGUUAUUGGACCGGAAGAUGAUAGAGAUUUAGCUUAGAAUGGAUCUGUUAUUGUUAUGGUUAGAGCUGAUGACUUGAAAAGAAUUGGAAAAGAUAAAAUAUAGUGGCCACUUUGAAUAAUCAAAAUAUCAUUUUAUUUUUUGUUCAUUUCUGCAAGUUCAAUUGUCAUUACCACACUGGGUUUGUUGCCUGAGGGCGUACACCAAUGUGACAAUAGCUAGCUCUAAUAUUUAAUAUUGUAUACGUGAUAUAAUAUGAAGAAGAUUACGACAUUGAUUCCUUUAGUUAAAUAUACUA